GUGCUUGCUUUAGCAGCACAUAUACUAAAAUUGAAAUGAUACAGAGAAGAUUAGCAUGACCCCUCUGCAAUGAAGACAAGCCAAUUCUUGAAGCAUAUUUUU